rnacentral:misc_RNA from 1 species
AACGGUCUAUACCUGCGGUACCUGCGGAAGGAUCAUUACAGGACUCGCAAGACUCCUACAACCCUGUGAACCUACUAUACGAACGUUGCUUCGGCGGGUGCGCCCCGGGGAUUCGUUCCCGCGGCGCGUCAGCCCGCCGGCAGCCUACAAAUUCUGUUUCUUUGCGUUGGCAUCUCGAGAAAAACAAAUAAGUUAAAACUUUCAGCAACGGAUCUCU